rnacentral:lncRNA from 1 species
UUCUAUCGCCAUAUUUUAAACAAAUAUUUACAAUGCAUUCUAUUUAUAUUCAAUUUUAGUAAUUGCUAUUAAUCUUAUAUUCCAUACGUUUUCUCAAUUCUGUAUUUUAGUUUAUUUUCUAGUUGUUGGAAGACCAUAGUGAACAUUACAAUUGAUUCCUCAAUAUUUAUUCCACCCAAGAUGGGUAAUCCAAGCCAACUAGAGACUGGUUCAGGCAUGUGGCUGCUUAUCUAACUGUGAGUGAUGGCUGUCACUAUUCACUGUGGGACAGGUAUCAAAUGUCAGCAAUCUCUUCUACUGCCAAUUUGCUGUUUGUUUUUCUCAACUCUUCUCCAUGUUGAAUCCUGGAAGUUAUUGAAACAAUCCUUGAUCAUUGCUUUUAGUCUCUAGUUGUUGUUAGGCAAAAGGAUUUGCGGCUCCUCAUCAGAAUAGCAAGUGAAUAAAGAGCAUGGAUUAUGGAAUCAGACCAGAUUUACACUUCUGACUGCAUGUUAUAACUGUGCCACCUCUCUAAAUCUUAAUUUUCUUGGUUGAAAAAAAUAGCAAAAACAAUACUAUCUCGUACAUUUGAUGUAACGAUUAAAUGAGAUGACGAGAGCAAAGGAUUUAACAUGAUUUUUUACAUAUGCACGAAUUUAAUUAUUCCAAUAGGAUGAUAUCUACAUUCUGUCAACACUUUGUAAUAGCAAAAAUAAAACCACCUGUGAACCAACAUAUGCUGAAAAUAACAUUGACUUUCUCCAGGUACCCAACAUAUUUAUGUAAUGUUAUUCAGGGAUAAGCUGGUGAGUUUGUGUUCUCUGCUGCUAGUUGGACACACUAAUAUAAAAACUUGCAGAUUAUUAACACAGUUUUCUGUAUGUAAGAUGUUUCUUUUCAUAAUAUGCAUUAAUAUUUUAUCUUUUUAUUUUCCUACUUUCUAAUCCCUUCUAAAGCUCAGAUCCAGUUCCAGUUUUUGAGAUUUCAGGAAAUAGUCUACACUAUAUUAUAUAAGGGCUAAUAGUUUCCUGAAGUCCAUCUCCAGGUUAUUUUGAUUAGAAGAUCAUCUUCCUCGGGGAUCUUGACUUUCACUUCUGAUAAUAUUGCGUUAUGGUUGCCCCUAACACAUGCAUAUAUCUGACUAGAUGUUAUUGAGAUAUUUUAGUUACUUCUUCCACUGAGAGUGCAUCCCAUUGUCUGAGGAAUGUUGUAAAGUUUUAAUUUGUCAAUCAUAAUACAUGUAUAGUUACACCAGAAUAAGAAUUGAUUGGCAAGUGUCUAGGCUCAAAAUUUGGUUUUAGUUU